rnacentral:rRNA from 1 species
CAGCCGCCACGGGAAAACGAAGGGGGCUAGCGUUGCUCGGAAUGACUGGGCGUAAAGGGCGCGUAGGCGGCGAUCAAAGUCAGACGUGAAAUUCCUGGGCUCAACCUGGGAACUGCAUUUGAAACUGGCAGGCUAGAGUCUUGUAGAGGGGGGUAGAAUUCCAGGUGUAGCGGUGAAAUGCGUAGAGAUCUGGAGGAAUACCGGUGGCGAAGGCGGCCCCCUGGACAAAGACUGACGCUCAGGUGCGAAAGCGUGGGGAGCAAACAGGAUUAGAUACCCGCGUAGUCCCUGUCUCUUAUAC